GGGUUAUUUUCGUGGGGUGUAAAUUUUCGCUUAUCUUAGCGGAAAGAACAAAAUUGCCAAAAUAAAUUGUGUCAAUUAAAAAGUAAACAUGCACAGGUAUGAAUAAAAGUUUUGAAUCAACCAAAAUAAUAACCGUCAAAAUAUUUCGUAUACUGUAAGUUCUUUUAUUCGUGGGGAACCAAUUUUGGUGGUUUUCGUGGAUGACUCUAUCCGCGAAUUUAAGUGUCAAACGAAAUAAAACAACCUUUGUCCAAAUCAAGACUUUGAAAGAUCCCCGUGUAGGUUUGACUACUGAUAUGAUCUAGAGAAUAUAUUGAAUAUCGCCAAAUUUGAGAAUACUAUGAUAGUAGUCACAUGGGAAAUGCACUAUGAACUACAAUAACUCGGGUUAAUAAGUGUGGUCACUACAAUUUACACGGUCAAUGUUUACUUUGCAAGUGCCUUCAAUCCAGACAGUUUGUAACCUUCGUUUUUUAAUGGCUUCAAUUUUUUUUUCAUUUUUUUUUUAGAAAUCUAAAACCCUCAAACAUGUUAAUGUUGCUCAAACUACGAAACUUGAUACCCACGAAUUAAAGUACUUUCACAGUACCUUAUUCAAUGAAAAUUGCGAAAAUUUAAAAAAUUUUAGUAUGAUCCUG
rnacentral:lncRNA from 1 species